UUUGGCGGGGCUUUUGUCUCUCGCUGCAGCCAGAGCUUGGGAUCGCUUUCUGCUAUUCAACGUCCUCCACCUCUGCCCCCCUCUCGCCCCAGCCGGUGACAGGCUGUUGCCCUGUGAUCUGCAGGUCCUGGGACGUGCACAGACAGCUAAGAUGCCAGGACAUUCCAGAAGGUGGGAAAGGCACCUGAGUAAUUUGACUCUCCUGCCUGGACCCAGCGUACAGAUGGGAUUGUGCUUCAUUGCUGGACCCAGCAUUUAGGGAUCGUCACUCCCGUGGAUGAUCAAAGCUACUCCGGGGGCUGAGGCAGGAGAAUCGCUUGAACUCGGGAAGCAGAAGUUGCAGUGAGCCAAGGUCGCACCACUGCACUCCAGCCCAGGCGACAUUGUGAGACUCCAUCUCAAAAAAAAAAAAAAGAAAAAAAGUGUACUAACAAGACCCAGCACACAGAGGAGACUUUUACCAUUGUAUGAACACCCAUCAAACAGUACACAUCAUCAUUGUGAGUUCUGAAUCUCACACAUAGAGGAAGUCAAAGGUGGAAAACUUGACUCUCAUAUUUGGAUCCAGUCCACAGGUGUGAUUUUGACGCACACUUCUGCCCAGCACCUGAGUAAUGUGAUUCUUCAGAAUUGGCCCGGCCCACAAAUAGGAUUGUGCCACACUGCUGGACCCAGUGCCUAAGUGAUGUAACUCUAUUCUUCUGCCUUGGUGCUACUCGAAAAAGACAUUGUAACAUAUCUCAGAGCCUUACACCCAGGUAAUGUGAGUCUCCUCUUCUGCCUUGCUGCUGCACACAGAAGCGGAAUAUGUACAGGAUUGUUAAUCUCAUCUUGGAUCUUCCUGCACUUGUGAUUGUGACACAUGCCUCUGUGUAGAACCUGAGUGAGUUUACUCUCCUGCCUGGAUUUAACCCAUAGAUGGAAUCGUGACAUAUCACUGUACCAGAAACUAGGUGAUGUGACUCUAUUUUCUUGCCUCUGUGUUUUUAUAUGGGGCAUCGUGACAUAUCACUGGGCCUUGCACCCAAGUGAUGGGAGUUUUCUCUCCUGCUUUGGUGCCGUCCACAAUGAAAAUUGUGAAAUAUUGCUGCCCUCCCCACUAGGUUAUGUUACUCUCCUGCCUCUGCUUUGCCCACAUGGGUCACUGUGACAUAUUGCUGGGUCUAAAACCCAGGUAAUGUCACUCUCUUGUUUGGGUUCUGCCUGCAGGAGUCAUUGUCACAUAUCUCUAUGCUCAUCACCCAGGUAAUAUGAUUCCCUUUUACUGCUUAGUUCCUUCUCACAAAACAACUUGUGACAUAUUGCUAGGCCCAAUACACCUAGCUGGUGUAACUCUUCUUUUCUUUUCUUUCCUUUUUUUUUUUUUUUUUUUGAGAUGGAGUCUCACUCUGUUGCCCAGGCUGGAGUGCAGCGGCAUGAUUUCAGCUCACUACAGCCUCUGCCUCCUAGGUUGAAGCGAUUGUCCUGACUUGGCCUCCCAAGUAGCUGGGAUUAAAGGCAUGUGCCACCACGCCCGGCUAAUUUUUGUAUUUAUAGUAGAGACAGGGUUUCGCCAUGUUGGCUAGGCUGGUUUCGAACUUCUAACCUCAGGUGAUCCUCCUGCCUCGGCCUCCCAAAGUACUGGAAUUACAGGCAUGAGCCACUGCACCUGGCCUGAUUCUUCUCUUCUUUCUAGGUUUCAACUGCAGCAGAGAUUGUAACAAACCACUGGGCCCAGCCGCAUAAUGAUGUUACUCUUUUGCCUUGGGCCUGCCCUCAGAAGGCACUGUCACAUAUUCAUGGGCCCAACGCCAAGGUGAUAUGUGUCUCCAGCCUGGACCCUGCCCACAGGGGGCAUUGUGACAUAUCUCUUGGCCCAUCAGAUGUUUGAUUGUUAUCCCCUCCCCUCUUCUACCCUGUGUUUGCCUAUAAAAGACACAGUCAUAUGUUCCUGGGCCCAGCACCUAGGUGUUGUCUUACUGGAAUGUGUCCACAUGGGGAUUGUGAUAUGUCACGUGGCCCAGUACUUAACUUGAUGUGACUCUCCUCUCAUGCCUAGGCCUUGUAGAGAAUCCCCUUCCCCUUUUGUUUUCCUUUUUUUCUUUGCAGAUCCAGGAGAUAAUCAACUAAGAGCCAGGCACCCGUUUAGGUCUAAUAAACAUUUUACAAACUGCUCUCUCUUUUAAUUCACCUAUCUGAGAGAUUCCUCUGUACAAUAAAACUUGGUCUCCACAAUCCUUUACCUUAACCUAAACCUUCCCUUUCAUUGAUCCCAGGUCUUCAGAUUCCACCACUUGUCAACCACAAAAUAUUUAAAUUUACCUGGAAGCCGCCCGCUUUGAGUUGUCCCGCCUUUCUGAACCAAACCAAUAUAUUCCUGCAAAACCGGCCAUGAUUAAAACAUCAAAAAA
rnacentral:lncRNA from 1 species